rnacentral:lncRNA from 1 species
GAAUAUAUUAUGAAAUCAAUGUGAACUGUGUAGGAAUGGAUGGUAUUUUGACUGCAGUUGUUCAAGGUGUGCAGAUUCUACAGAGCUUAACACGUAUAUUGGAGGCAUACAGUGUAAAAGAAAUUCUUGCUCCGGAGUUCUUCUACCCCAGUAUCCUCUACAAUUCAACUCUGACUAUCAGUGUACUGGAUGUAUGAAACUGGAAAAUUGGAAUGUAAUUGAUGAAGUUUUACAAGAACUUGAAUCUUCUCUGCAAAUCACAGACAAGUCAUCCAUAGAUGGAUUAGAAAAGCUAUUAGAUAACUGUCUCCAAAUUCUGCAUCCAUCCCAUGCUAUUAUUAUAGAGGUGAAGCGGUAUCUGAUAUCUCUGUACAACUCUUUAUAUGUACAACAAGCAACUGUUGUACAGUACGUAGAGGAAAUAUUUCCAAUUAUAAACGAGGCAAAAAAAAAACUAUUUCAAAAGUCCAAAAAAAAUAUUUUAGCUUAAACAACGUAAAAUUAAAAAUU